UCUGAUAUUACCUGAUUUGAAGGUAUUUAAUUGAAGUUCUCUCUUAUUCUCUGUCACCGAACGCAUAAGCUCUCUUCACCAUCACCAUUGCAUCACCUCAUCCCCACCGCACGAUCACUUCACCAACACAAAGGUUCUGGAUACCCCUUCACUUCAAGAUGACUUUUACUUGAAUCUUGUGGACUGGUCUUCACAAAAUAUUCUAGCAGUGGGAAUGGGCACUUGUGUUUAUCUUUGGAGUGCUUCAAACAAUAAAGUGAGUAUGAACCUUUGAUUAUAACUAUAUGCAGACAUGAAAACAAAUGGGUAUAUGCCAACAAUGGUGGUGUUGACAAGACAACAGUUGCAAACAUUAUUGUAUGCAGAGAGGGAUCAAUGGUGCUUUUACUUCUACUCUUCAUUUGAAAGAUCAAGGAUGUGAAUUUUGGCGUAUCAAUGGUGUCUUUUAUAUUUAGCUAGUUUUAUGAUUUUUGCAUCUCAUUGCUUAUCAAUGCUUAGCAAUGUAUUUAAUGCUCUGUAAUUCAUAUAUUGAUUAGUUUAAAUGCAAAUUGUAUUUGGAUUUGAAGAUAUCCAUUGUAUUAUACAGUAGUAACUUGUAAUUAGAUUUGAGUAGCAUAUUUUGUAGCCAA